UCUAUCUUAAUAUUAGACGUUAACGGCCGCUCAUUCCUAGUACAUGGCAGACAGUCUGUCAACGUAACCCAAUAAUUCGAGUUAUCUCCCUUUUCGAGUCCCUCGAGUCCUAGAAAAUAGACUCGAGGGAUUUAAAUGGGCUUCAC